AUCAAGGCAGGUUUGCCCGAG
rnacentral:siRNA from 1 species